GCCAACAGCCAUAUCACUCUGCAACUCACAACUGGCAACCCACUGAAGCUAAGCAGGUGUGAGCCUGGUCAGUACCUGGAUAGGAGACCUCCUGGGAAAAACUGAGGUUGCUGCUC
rnacentral:rRNA from 1 species